rnacentral:lncRNA from 1 species
GGCUCAAAUGGUGAUGAGGGACCCUCCCCCUCAGCACGCUCCUCCUCCUCAACAGCAGCACCUUGAUCCUUGAUCCAACGACCAUCCACUCUAAUAAAAUCCAUACAUCGAAGAAAAUGAUCGUUGUAAGUAUCAAUGUUCAGUAGCCUGCAUACAGCCUCUCCCUCAAAACUCACAUCAAACGGUCUAAACAUAACUGUCAGGGCCAUUCCAUAAGGUAAAGGAGCCUUGGAUCUAUUCAAGACCUCCCUCAUAGCAUCAAUCAUCAGAAAUGGGAGAUUCAAUGAAGACUCAAAUAUAAUAUGGUG